AUGGGAAUAAUAAUAGCACCCACCUCCCAGGGUUGUUUUAAGGAUCAAAUAAGACAAUAAUUGUAAAGCACUUAGCAGAGUGCCUGACAUAUAUAUACUAGGUGCCAUGUAAAUAUUAGUUGCUAUUAUCCUUAUUAUUCUUAUCUCUCUCUAGCCUACCUAUGAGCCUUCUGCAGAAUGAGAAACCCAGAAUCGAGGAAAGUCCAAGUCCUGAGAUUCAUAUAUUCUCCAUUAUCCACAGGCAGAUCAAGGACCCCUAGAGCUCAGUCUCGUCCCUCUCUCUGUCUUCAUGGGAAGCUCGAAAAUUUCCCCUCUGGAGAUGUCCUGCUCAUGGCCAGCCCAGAGCAGCAUCCUCCACACUUGGUGGCCAGCGAGCUCAUUGGGUUUAGCCUGGCUCAAGGUGGAGAGGGACAAAGGAGAAAAGACUGUGUCAGAGAACACGUAGAAGCAAGUGUUGGAGCUGCUGCCUGGUGGACAUGCCUUCCAGAGCUGCUCAGCUGAUUAACUUGAUGCUAUGGCGACUGCAGAAAGAACAAAUGUGGGAAUUACAGUUCACUUCUGUCCUGCUUGGCAAGAAGUAAGAAGAAGAAAGUUCAUCCACAAGGCACAGUUGGCAAAGGACUCGCCAUUCUGUUCAAGCAGCUGAAGGACCUCGAGAACUCCUAGAGAGCCCCUCUGUGAAAUCACUUUCUCAUCAGCACUUUCCAUCACGACUCUAGUUUUAGAAGAUGGUGCCUCGAAGCACCCUCUCCAUGGCAGACCUGGCCCACUUAAUUAUCUCACUAAAGAUGGAAUGCAAAGGGAGGAAAGGAAUUUCAAAUAAAUCCAUUUUACCACUCAUUAUGAGCUCUGGUAAAAUUCUAACUGGGAAGGGCCUUGAAACUAAUGACAAAAAAAUGAGGUGUGUUUAAUAUUCUAGAGGGAAAAGAACCCCUACCAGGGCCUUUAUUUACCACCUCUUUGUGGCACAGAAACAGCAGUUUGGAUGUUUACAGAAAUCCAUCAGGUUUGGGGAAUCCCCAUGGAGGAGGCUACAGACUGAUGGGGAACAAUGGUGACAGCUACAGUAGGAGCAGGCUGUACGAGGAAACGCUCAUUCCCACAACUUGGGUCUCACUGAAGGUGGCCAGCUCCAAGAAAUCCCAUCUUCAGUGUCCCAAGUAGAAAAUCUUAUUUUAUUUUAAGCUGUGACUUGCCAGAUUCUGGUGAAAUCCCGAGUUGUUCAUUAGGAACUCAGGGACCUCAGCAGGUUUAGGAAGACCACACACACUUACUGGACUUUAACCAGAGUGCUAGACUCAGACAAAUAAAAACAGAUGUUCCCACCUACAUGCCAGGCUGUUUCAAGGAAGCAUACUGAAACUAGCUUAGAAUGUGUAAGUUUUUCUAUUCUGCACAUUCGAAAGUUAUGUGGAUAAAGGCCAUCCCAAAGCAAUAUG